rnacentral:lncRNA from 10 species
CACUGAGGUGGAGCCUUUGGGACUUUUGCAGCGGGGAGGAGCCUGGCCCCUCCUCUUCCUGUGUGGACCCUCGGAUUCAAGCUGCUGGCGGGAAGUGCGCUAGGCGGAGCUGUGGUCUAGCGAGAGUCCCUGUUUCCCCCUUUUCUUCCUUUUCACAGGAUCUCACCCCAUAAAACCCUGUCUUACCAUUCAAAUUGUCUGUAAGCCUGAAUUUUCGCGGCCCUAAGACAAAGAACCUUGUCUUUCACUGAAUUUAAAAAAAGUCCUGCAACAUUUUUGGUGCACAACGUGGGGGUUCGAGAAGCGAUUUUCUGGUCAGAUUAAGCCAAGUAAAAUGAACUUAACUCAAAGCCUUGAAGACAGAAAAACUUAUAAAAGUACAGCCUGCAGUAUUCUCAUUCAGAAAGAACAACAGGGCAAAAGACCUGAAGAAGGAGCAUACUGCGGUUUUCAGAAUACCAUCGAGGAGGAGAGAGGUCUACUGUUAUGAAUUGCCACAACUUGGAGGCUUAGAACAACACAAAUUAGUACUCUCACAGUCCUGAAGGCUACAGCUCUGCAAUCAAGAUAUCAGCAAGGCCAUCAUUCCACUAAGGCUCUAAGGAAGAAUCCAUUUUUGCCUCUUCCUGCUUCUGGGAUGCAUCCACUUUAUUAGACGGCAAACUAGAAAAUGCUUCCUACAGUCGCCACAUAAAAAGAAUUAUCAUCAUGCCAAACAAAUUAUCAUCGGUGCCAAUGAUGUGAGAAUUGAGCAGAAAGAGCAAUGCAACAGGUUUUCUUUUCUGGCCAUGCCAAGGUGGAAGGUGAUCUUAAUUGAAGAAAGAAUGCUCAAAGGUGGGGCAGUAGGAGACACUGAAUUCACAUAUCAUUGAAAACCAAAAUAUUAGAAGAGCUUAAGUUUUAAAGAAUGCUGGCAAAUGUUUAAGCGAUCAGCACUGCUGGUUUACUAUAAACAUAAUGGACUACACGUUGAGUACCUUGACAUAUGAGUAAAUUCAUAUAGUACAAAUCAUUCAACACACAUAUCUUGAGAACAAGUGAGAAGACAGCCAUCUGCAAACCAGAGAGAAAGUCCUCAUAAGGAACUGAAUCAAACUUCACCUUGAUCUUGGGCUUCCCAGCCUUUGCAACUGUGAGAAAUAAAUGUGUCUUUAUGCCACCUUGUCUAUGGUAUGUUAUAGCAGCCCAAGCCAACUAAUACAGGCAGGAACUGAAGAAAACAUUACUUACUAGCAGCUGCUGUGAUCAGGUAACUCAAAUUAUUGUUGGUUUUCAGCAGCACCAAAAAGAGUUGGAAAUAGUCUGCUCUGAGCUUCAUGCAGGUAGAACCCCUGUAGUGGCAUCUCUGAACUCUCUGUGUUAUCAGAUUUCCCAAAAGCUCUUUUCCUCUCCCUUUUCCCCUUCCACCUUACCAUUGAUUAUAUCCGUUUCUAUUCAAUCAUAUUAAAUAAUUUCUUACUCAAAAUAUUUAUGGGUUUUAAAUUUUUCUUACUCUUUGAUAUACUUCAACAAAGCAAAGGUAUCUAGGGAGUUAAUUGUCUUGUUUCUGGGUGUCUCUGUGAGGGUGCUG